rnacentral:sRNA from 1 species
CUUGAUGCUGAAAGUGGCCCACCAGCCUCCAUAUACACAGCCCCAUUGUUCUCCUAGACAAGGCCAUGAACUGGCAAAACAAGAGAUUCGAGUGAGGGUUGAAAAGGAUCCAGAACUUGGAUUUAGCAUAUCAGGUGGUGUCGGGGGUAGAGGAAACCCAUUCAGACCUGACGAUGAUGUAAGUUUUCUUUGUAUAUUCUUGAAACAGCUAUAAAGUUUUAUUUACCGAUUGAAUACUUAAAUGUAAGUGAAAAUCUAAUAGAUGUUUAUGUAAAUCUAGGUAGACAUCACCUGGAUUCCCCACUCUAUUGCUUACCUUUUUGUUUUGUAAUUUGAUCAGUUCAAGUUAAAACAAUUUAACCAAAAA